UGCACCUGUGGAGGCCAAGGGCGAUGCUAGCUUACUUCCUCAUUCACUCUCCACCUUAUUUGCUGAUUUGAGUCAGGCUUGGUCUCUGGGCCUGGAGCCUGCCAAUUUGGCUGAGCUGGCUGGCAGACAGGGAAGCCCCAGAGUGCCAUCUGUCUCUGCCACCCCACUGCUGAGAUCAUAGGCCUGGGUCUCCACAACUGGUGCUUUGGCACAGGGACACCGAGGCCCUGAAGGACUUCCUACAGCCCCAGCAUAUGAAGGACUUCCUACAGCCCCAGCAUAUGAAGGACUUCCUACAGCCCCAGUAUAUGAAGAUACUGAACUAGGAACCAUGUCACCCUGGAAACGUUUCAUUUGAUGAUAACACGGGCUGCAGCCACCUCCUUCUGUUGUGCUAACACCCUUGAUUUCUUCAGGGUUUCAUUUGAUGAUAACACGGGCUGCAGCCACCUCCUUCUGUUGUGCUAACACCCUUGAUUUCUUCAGGGUUUCAUUUGAUGAUAACACGGGCUGCAGCCACCUCCUUCUGUUGUGCUUGGAAGGCAGCAGGGCCCUGGCUGUCAGUGACAUUUUUCCUCAGCAGAAUGGCCCAGUAUGGCUCCCAUCAGAUGGCAGAGCCAGAAGAACCCAGGAGAAGUUGGAGCUCAUUUACAUGACCUUCCUCCUGUACUCUCCAGUGAAAAGGAUGCGGAAAAGGUCAUCUGUAGGAAAAUCCACAGAGGCAGAAAACUCCAGGGAGGUUGCAGAGGCCCUGAGGGCCAGUAAUAAGGCCAGGCAGCGUGGCCGACCUCGGUACACGUUUGUUUUCUCAUAAUGGUAUGUGAGAAUCGCUUACUCUCCCUGUUAACUGAUGAGGAAGACACACCUCGGUGACGUUAAUUGACUUGUCCGUGAUGCACAGAAAGGCUUUGCAUCUGUGUCUUUCUCAUCCCGGAGCUCAGUCUCCUCCUGGGAAGAAGAACAAAGCCUCAAGGAAGCUGGUCUGACUCUUUAACAACCUCUGUGUUCGGGGACCAGUUCUCCUCCCGUACGGCAUUCUGAAGUUAGAGGAGAUGAUCACCACACUCCCUUCCACCCCUCACAUGCCGCCUGUCACUUUGGGGAGCUCUGCUGGAUGAUUCGGGAAAGAAAGAAAUGCAUAGACUCUCUAUUUGCCAGGAGCCAGAUAGUAUCUCUGACUCUAUUUAUAUGUGAAUUUGUACCCGGUGUUUGAUUAUGAAAAUAUCACUUUGAUUCAAUAAUCAUUAGUAUUUUGUCAUAUUUUAUUCUUCGGUACGUAUUCUUUAAUUCCCAAGUUCAUUUUUUACAUCAAGUAAUAGACGCUCGGAAACUUCACCCCUGAAAAUUUCAUCAUGAAUCAUAAUAGACACUAAUAAGCUGCAUUUGCUAUAAGCCACUGAUGUCUCCCCUGGGCCCACAUAGCAACGAAAGCAGAAAGCAAGCCUGGCAUGGAUGUCUUCAUUUCUGUGCAUUUUCUUUGUUUCAGAUCAGACUCCUGCUUAACUCUGAACAGGUUGGGGACUUGUCAAUCACCCAGGUGCAUCCACUUAAAAACAGGCAUGUUGUUCUAUUGACACAGCAGAUGCCCCUGAAUCUACUGCUGUUUCAGCUACUGACUUGGGCUCCAAUAAUCACUGCACUACUGCUCAGGUUGAGGCCCGAUGGGGACUGUCUCUGCCUUGUAGUUUUUAACUAAGUCUCCAUUGUUCUAUUUUACCCACAAAGACUCCAGAGUCAGAUACUGGGGUGAAAACCUGCUAGCUCUGAGAGGCCAAGAAGCAAUCAGCUGACCUUCCUCCUUAGCUGGAGACCCAGCAAGAGAAUGUCCUUCCACUGCCCCAAACCAAAAAAGGCAAAGUCCCUUCCUACUGCUUCCUGUGUGUCUCUCUGUCUGCCUUCUGGAAUCCUUCUGACUAUGCUUACUUUCUGUCAACUAGUUGCUGGCUCCGCCUCCUGAUCCAAGGUUUUAAUUAAUUAACACAAAUUUGGGGGUUCACAGUGUGACCAGUCCCACAACACAGGUAACACCUACCUUGUGUCAUUUCCUUUCAGUGCUGAAGGUGCCAAGAGUUAUUGUUCUACCACAGGACAGUGGUGGCGCAUGCUUUUAAUCCCAGCACUCGGGGCAGAAGCAGGCAGAUCUCUGUGAGUUCAUUCAAUGCCAGCCUGAUAUACAGAGCUGGUUCCAGGACAUCCAAGGCUACACAGAAAAACCAUGUCUUGAAAGACAAAAAACAAACAAGCAAAAAUUAGCCAUUGUUCUAAACCUACACAAGCAUUAGAUUACAAAGACUCCAAAGCCUUGCAAGACAGGACAUCCCUACAAGUGAGGAGAAUUUUCUCUGCUGGAGACAGAACCCUGGAGAAAAGAUCAUCUCACAGGAACCAAAUUGUCCCUCCCAAUCGAGGACAGUGAAGCACUGUCCACUUUGAUGACCAAAACCAGAGAUUACCAGAUGCGUUUUAAUCAACCUGUUUCAUUUUACAGACCCUUUGCCCCUGCCAUGAGUCUUCCUCAUUAAAUCUAAAGCUCAUGUCAGUGUCUCACAGGUAGACAAUCCCCUUAUCUGUUCUUCUUCCUGAUGUUUGUAUGGAUUAUACAUAGAAGACACCCUUAAGUCUUGGUUUUCCAUCGUUAAACCACUGUUUCUCUCCCUUCCUUCCUUCCUUCCUUCCUUCCUUCCUUCCUUCCUUCCUUCCUUCCUUUCUUCUUUCCUUCCUUCCUUCCUUCCUUCCUUUCUUCCUUUCUUCUUUCCUUCCUUCCUUCCUUCCUUCCUUCCUCCCUUACUCCUUUCCUUUUUUCACAUUUACGUGUGUUUUUAACAGUGCAUGCCUGUCUUUUUGAUAUUACACCAAGGCCCAGCAGUUUGAUACUGUUGCUAGUCUGUGAACAAGACAGCUCAGCUUGUAUCACUUUGCUGUGGGCCUUUGGCUUUCAUUUUUACCCUCUUGUUCUCUCAGACAUCCGAGGUCUGAACUCCAGCUAAAGAUUUCCAGAUGGGCUGAGCAGGAAAUGCCAGGUACAGCUGAGGCCUACAGGAUGCCUCCUGCCAGCCCCACUUAGCCUUGGAGGAGAUGAGGGCAGAUGAGGACCCAGCUGCUUCUGUUCUGCUCACCACCCAUUUGCAACCACAGCGCGGUGCCCUGCUUAGAUGAGGGGAGGGCUGGGGUCUUGAAGUGGUCACUAGUAGGCACAGAUGGGAAACAUUUUCCUCUUAGGCUGUCUUCAAGGCAAUUUAAGAAAAAGACAAAGACCCACAGAAUUUCACUGAUGUUCAGAAGUCCGAAAGGGAGGAAGGCUUAUAUUGCACGAUGAAGCUGAAACUCCCAUUUUCAAAACAAAUGUUUCCGAUUUCUCAGAAUAGCAUUCGGUACAUGCUUAUCAGUGCUCUCUCUGGGUGACUUUUUCAUGCUGUUUUCCAAAGCCUACAGCACACAACUCCCCCACUUUCUUUUUCUGCAAUGUUCCCUUGUACCCUCUAGGAGUUUAAUGCUGCCUUUGGGCUUUGCUUUUGUUUUUUAGAGUUUUUCCUUUUUUAUUAGGGAAGCAUCAUUUUAUUACAGUGAAAGAAAUUGAUGUGUGAUGAGAGUCUAUAGCUUUCUCAGAAUCACAGAGCUUGUAAACUAUACUUGCAAAAGAUUAAACAAGGCAAUAAAAACAGCUGAGCUCCAUCUGUGCUGCUCUUAAAGAGAACCUGUGUUAAUACCGCCUCACUCUGCCUUGGAUGUGAGUUCUCCAGGAUUCACGUGCUAGAUUUCAGGAUGGCAGUGUUGAGGGACAGACUGAUAGGAGACUGGGCUGGAGAUGUGGCUCAGUGGUAGAGCUCUAGGGGUCAUGUAUUAUGAAGGGGCUGUGGAAGACCUGCCUCCUUAGGGCGUGUCAUCAUGCAGUCUCCUGCUCUCAUGUGAUCUGCUGCUACUCUGGUGCCAUCCACCAUGAGGCCUUAGCAGAGCUGGUGCAACGAAUACAGAAUACAGUGGAAACAUCCAGACCUGUGAGUUUAAUAUCCUUUGCUUCCUCAGUAAGUUACCCAUCAUCAGCCAUUUCACUAUAGACACAAACAACGGACUAAUGGGACUUGUAAUUGCUAACGCAUCUUACACAGUCACUGUAAUGGGUAGAGUUGUGUCCUGAUCCCCUAAUUCAUGUGUGGAAAUUCUAAACUUGCAGCACCUCAGAUGUGACUGCAUUGGGAGACGGGGCUGUUAAAGUGCAGAUUAAAUUAAAACCUGUACGUGGGCAUAUGGAGGCUGGAAGUCAGCCUUGGAUGUAGCGAACACAUUACCAAGUGAACUGACUGUUUACGCUCUUGAUUGGCAGAAGAAAAAGAAGAAGAGGAGGAAGAAAAGAAAGAGAAGGAAGUAGUAGCUGUUUGGACAGCUAGUGAGCCCUUUCUACAUUAGGUCAAAGUGAUAGCACCGCAUCAAGAGGCAGGAAACAGGAGGCUGCUGGUGCUCUGAUUGGAACCUUCCAGCCUGCAGAACCAUGAGAAAUACAUUCCUGUUCUUUGCAUCUUCCUGUAUACAUUGUUAUUUCGGUGAAUGAAAUAACUCAGUGGCAGUACUAUUGCUGGAAGUUUGUCAGGUUUGGCCAAGUCAAGUUGACAUGGAGCAGAGGUGUACUGGAGGAACAGAGAAGCCUGUGUUUAAGAGUGACAGGUUGCUACUCAGUACUAAGCAAUGCCAUCUCCAUCCCAGCGCUGGCCAGCCUCUGACCUUGACUCCGUGGCAGGCAAACACACCCACCUAAGCUACUCCUAAACAAAUGAACAAAGGCAAAUUGUAGCAAACAGAAGGAAGCAGACUGGGGAUGUUAAAACAUCCUAUUGCUUUUCUGCUAGUAACUUUUGCUCAUGUAACAAAGAUUAUCUUCAAGGGAAUCACAGACAGCUCAAAUUUUAGGUAAGUAAGCAGAAACGUUAUUAGCAUUUUUCCAGACUCGAAAAUGAUUACAACUUGCUGAAGAGAGGAGUUUGAUGGGUUACUAAUGGGGAGCAAGUAUUCGACAAACAACUCUAACUAAACCAAGUGGGCUAUUUAAAGUGACAUGUUUCCAGCAAUUGUAAACUGAAAACAAUGACAAUGCAUUUGGUUUACUAUGUUGUUCUCUGAGGACUUUAAUAAAAUUUUCAAAUAUGUCUGAAACACGACAAGAGUGAGAUGAGCACCAGAUGGCUUACCCUUCAUUAAAGAGUGUCUCACCUUAUCAAGGACUCGGUGACACCAGGUGAGAGCAGAAUUGCUCAGCACAGUAGAGUUAGACUCAGAGAAGCCUUCCUCAGAUUUCAGUGUUAAAGGAAUUCCACAAGAUGCAGAACCAGUUCCCCUGGAAGGUCGGCUCUGGCUACAGUAUAGGGAGUGCUGGGCAGAGCACAGUGGUAUCUGCAAUUUAAGAUGCCUCUGAAUGAUUGGCUAGAGGUGGAUCCAAUGAGGAAAUACAGACUUACAAAUACAGGACAAGAUGUUGGCUGACAUGGAUCCAGCUGCCCUGUGGUGUCAUUCUGCCCAGGGGAGAUGUUAAAGGCCACAAGGCCUGCUUCUGCUCUGACCUCCCAAGAAAGCCAGACCCCUCCUCUUCCUUAUAAGACAUCAUGUUCUCACACAGAAGCCACGGAAAGCCGGUACCCCAAAAUUAUUGGCGGAAUGAAUUCCGGCAAUAAACUUAUAUCAUCAAAUUGUUCUUUGUUCUAAUUUACCCUUGCAGUUUUACUUUUAGGAGAGAGUCGAGGAAUUAAAAGAAGACCUUGUUAUUCCUUCCAGAAUCCUAUGUCUUCUGGUAUUAAAACGCACUGAAAAAGAGGAAUAGUGAUACAUUCCUGAAAUUCUAGCACUGAAAGAGCUGGAGACUAGAGUAUCAGUUUGAAACUAACCCAGGCUAUGUGUGACUCUGGAUUUAAAAAACAAAACAAAACACUGACACCAAAUGUUCAUAAUUUUCAUCUAGUAGGUCUUUCAAAACUUCAGAAAAAAACAAUAAAACAUAAUUGCUACAAUAA